rnacentral:misc_RNA from 1 species
UGGUUCUGGCAUCGAUGAAGAACGCAGCGAAAUGCGAUAAGUAAUGCGAAUUGCAGAAUAAGUGAGUCAUCGAAUUUUUGAACGCACAUUGCGCCCCUCGGUAUUCCUUGGGGCAUGCCUGUUCGAGCGUCAUUAUCAAACCUCAAGCUAUGGCUUGCCAUUGAGUUAAUCCGGGAAAAGGAUUUUCUCCAAAGAUCGUGGCAAGGUAAUUAAAUCCUGAAUGCAAUGAGCUGUUCCAAUACUGCACGCAUGAAAGGAAAUAGUUGUCUUCAGCCUAAUUUCAAUUUACAAGGUUGACCUCGGAUCAGGUAGGGAUACCCGCUGA